GAUGAACGCUGGCGGCGUGCCUAAUACAUGCAAGUCGAGCGAAUGGAUUAAGAGCUUGCUCUUAUGAAGUUAGCGGCGGACGGGUGAGUAACACGUGAGCAAUCUGCCCUUGACUCUGGGAUAACUGCGGGAAACUGUAGCUAAUACCGGAUACGAGGCUCGAAGGCAUCUUCGGGUCUGGAAAGAAUUUCGGUCAAGGAUGAGCUCGCGGCCUAUCAGCUUGUUGGUGAGGUAAUGGCUCACCAAGGCGACGACGGGUAGCCGGCCUGAGAGGGUGACCGGCCACACUGGGACUGAGACACGGCCCAGACUCCUACGGGAGGCAGCAGUGGGGAAUAUUGCACAAUGGGCGAAAGCCUGAUGCAGCAACGCCGCGUGAGGGAUGAAGGCCUUCGGGUUGUAAACCUCUUUUAGCAGGGAAGAAGCGAAAGUGACGGUACCUGCAGAAAAAGCACCGGCUAACUACGUGCCAGCAGCAGCCGCCG
rnacentral:rRNA from 1 species